AAAAGAUAGCAACAACUUCCAAGAAAUCUCCUUCUUUGCUUUCUUUUACCGUUUCAUUUUUUCUUCCUCGUCUCUCUUCAAUCUGGAUUUUGUGCUCGUCUUUCUUCUGGAACUAUCAGGUAUACCUCUUCCCCUUUUGUAAGUGCAUCUUUUGCGAGAAUAUGAGCUUGGCCAUUUUCUGUUCUUUGAAUAAAUCUGAAAGCAAUUUCCUGAAAACGAGAUCUAUUACUCUGAAUAUCAUGAAUAAUCGCCCCGAUAACAGAUUUGUCCCUUGUUGUUGAUUGACAUUUAUGAAUAACUGUUUUCGAAUCCCCCAUAAUCGUGACUGAUUCUAUCCCCAUGCUGAUACCUAACUUGGUUGCCUCCAAACAUGCAUAUGCUUCGGCAACAAACGGAGAUGAAAUGUUGAAGUGCAAAGUUGACUUUGAGGCUCUAAUCGCACCAUCUUGAUCCCGAACAACUAUUCCUGACGCCGAUCUAAAGUUCCUGAUAUCAAAGGCUGCAUCAAACUGUAUUAUCUCCCUUGAUGUAUCUCUGCCUCGUCCUGCAGCUUCAGUAGACGCGUGAGAAAUCCUACUUCCCCUACUUCCUUCAAGUUCUAUUAGAUAACUCUGUAUUUUUUGUGAAAGGUCUAAUCCUGAUAUGGCUUUCUUCUCAUGUAUAAUCUGAUUCCGCGAGCCCCAUAAAACCCAUAGAGCACAACAAAACAAUCGAGUCUGCUCCUUUGUUCCUUUAUCAAAGACCCAGGACAUUUUCGAAACACAUGAUGGCUAUCUUCCUCCUCAGAUUCGCAACGAGGGCAUCUGGAGUUUGCAGUUACUCUUUUAUAUUUCAGAUUAGCCAGGGAUGGGAUAUAGUUCCAGGAAAUCCUCCAUACAAGGAUUAAAAUCUUUUGUGGUAGUUGUAAAUUCCAUAGGUUCUUGUAAAAUUCUUUAGUUUUGGUCUGUACUAAAUAACUAUUAGGCUCCAGACUAGCUUCUUGUAA